UGUGAAGAUGCAGUGUACCCGCGGCAAGACGGAAAGACCCCGUGAACCUUUACUAUAGCUUGACACUGAACAUUGAGCCUUGAUGUGUAGGAUAGGUGGGAGGCUUUGAAGUGUGGACGCCAGUCUGCAUGGAGCCGACCUUGAAAUACCACCCUUUAAUGUUUGAUGUUCUAACGUGGACCCGUAAUCCGGGUUGCGGACAGUGUCUGGUGGGUAGUUUGACUGGGGCGGUCUCCUCCUAAAGAGUAACGGAGGAGCACGAAGGUUGGCUAAUCCUGGUCGGACAUCAGGAGGUUAGUGCAAUGGCAUAAGCCA
rnacentral:rRNA from 1 species